CACCGCCUCCCUCACGGCUGCGGCCGCUGGGCUAUCGCUCCUCCCGUUUCCCUCACGGCACCGGGGCUGCCCCUCAGGCGGCCCCUCAUGGCCCCGGGCACGGUGAUCCCCCUCAGGCGGGCCCCUCUUGGCCCCGGGCACGGCGAUCGCCCUCGGGCGGCCCCUCAGGGCGAUCCCUCCCCGCCGCCCCCUCAGACACCCAUGUGUGCCCUCCUAGACAAUUCCCUGGAACCGGGGACCCCCUGCCCCUCCAUAGCCGCCCUUCUCCUCAGAGACGGCCGUGUGUUCGCCCUCAGACAUUUCCCUGGAAACCGGCACCCCCUGCACCUCCGGAGCCCCCCUCGUCCCCUCAGGCCUCCCCCUCUUGCCCUCAGGACAAAGGAGUCCAGGUCAAUAAGAAGCCGGAUUUUGAAGAGAACACAGGACAGGCUACACAACCCCCUGAGAUUCCCUCCUGCCCCAAGGGGAUUCAGCAACCCCAAAAACCUCACACUGCUGCAGGUGCAGAGGCUUUGAUUCCUCAUGUAACUAAGGAAGCUCUGUGAUUCCCGGGCAACUUCAGUGCCAAUGGAUGCCCAACAACACGAUGCUCUCUGAAGCUACCUUGCACAAACCUGACCAGCUGCCAGACAAGCAUCAAUGCAGCAAGAACAGCAGGACUGUUUUCCCAGAUCACCUGGAAGGGGAAUGUUUCUUGCCAACAGGUUCAGCCAGUGCUGGCCUCUAAGACUGUCAAGCAGGGAAGGGAGUGAGGGGGAGAAAAUCAGCUCUCUUAGACAAUAACUCUCCAGGGAAGGGGUGUAAAAGCCUUGUCAUGCUGAAGCCUGACUUAAAAUGUCAUAUUGCAAGUAGGCUGUGGUUUGGGUUUUUUUCUCCUUUACGAAUGGUUUGAU